CAGGCAGUUCACAAAUUGCCUGAAAAAAUAAGUCACUUUACAAAUUGUCUGGAUUCAGGUAUUGACUGUAACAUAUAUAAACGCAUCUGUGGAUUUUUAUUUAUCGACUUCUAUAUAUAUCUAUUCAUAUAUAAGAAACUAAAUUUUAAUGUUGGUAUCCCUGAGUGCCACACGCGUUUAAUAGGUGAGCAGCAUCACCGUCCACGUCCACCAGGCCGCCACUCCAGCUGUACUGUCGCAGCGGGAAACACUGUCUCCAAUUUGUUCGUCUGAUGUUGAUUCUUCUGUGAUGUCCAGAAAGCGGGUGUACAAAGAAGAAUUCCUUGGCACUGGGUUUACGUGUCUCAUCGAUCAUGGGGUCGAAAAACCUUAAUGCAUUGCAUGUGGGAAAGUGCUCAGUCUCGAGUCGCUUAAAGAAAAUAAGCUCAAGCGCCAUCUCCAGGGAAAACACCCAACUCUGGCGGGGAAAGAUCGUGAAUCGUGAAUAUUUCAAGAGGAAAGAAGAACAACUGAAAUGUUAGCGGUUAGACAACCUAUGCACAUAGGAAUAUAUUCUGUUCAACAAUCAACACUUGCAUCCUACCUCGUUGCAAAAAAAAAAAAAAAUUGCUAAGUGUAUGCAGCCACACAUAAUUGGGGAAAAGUUGGUAAAGUCAGCUGUCCUUGAUAUGGUUCGUACCAUUAUCGGAGAUGUUGCACUGAAAAAAAAAAAAAAAAAAUUCCACUGUCAGACAACACAAUUAACCGACGAAUUCAAGAGAUGUCAGGAGACAUCAAAGAACAGGUAGUGGCUGCCAUCAAGGAGAGUGAAAAAUUCAGCUUGCAGUUGGAUGAGUCAACUGACGCCAGUGACGAUGCUCAGCUCUUGAAUAUGUGCGGUACCAAGAGAAGAGCGACAUUGAAGAGGACUUCCUGUUCUGUGAACGACUGGAGACGACAACAACAGGUGAAGAUCUGUUAAAGCUGGGUGACAGUUUCAUCAAAGAAGAAGGCCUUAGAUGUAAUCAGUGCUUCAAUGUGUGCUUGGAUGGAGCACCUGCAAUGCUAGGGGCACGUCAGGGUUUCACUGCUAGGGUAAAACAAGUCAACCCCACAGUGAUAGUGACUCAUACAUUGUCUGCUCCACCGGGAAAACCUUGCCUCUCGGAAAAUAUCACGAGCUUAACACUGUGAUAGAAGAUGUGAUUCAAAUAGUGAAUUUUAUUAAAUCCUCAGGAUUCAAGGAUUUUCAGCCAGAUAUGCUCUGAUAUGUGGUCAGAAUAAGAACACCUGCUUUACUACUCUUUUGUCAGGUGGCUGUCCCGAGGGAAAGUGCUCCAGAAGGUGUUUGGCAUGCGUGUAGAGGUUGAAAUCUUCUUAAACGAGAAGAAACAUGCACUGGCAUCAGGGCUUACAUAACCAAGGUAGUUUCUUAAACUGGCAUAUCUGACAAACAAAUUCAGAGUUGAAUUUGCUGAAUAUAUCCAUGCAACGAAAAGAUGAAACUCAUAUCUGUGUCAGAAAAGCUCAAAGCUUUCAAGGCAAAGCUGAGGUUGUAUAAGGGCAAGAUCGAACAGGGAAAAACUGUGUCCUUUCCAUUCCUUAAUCUCUUCUGGAAGAUGAAGAAGACACCUCACUUUUGGACGUAAAAAGUGUCAUUGUUGAGCACCUUCAGAAAUUGAGUGAGGAGUCUGACGGGUAUAUUCCGGAUGGAGAGUUGCAUGAGAAAUACAAAUGGGUGCGGAGACCCUUCGGUGUCCACGCCGAGGACCUCUCAGAGGAAGAGAGUCUUCUAUCCGAAAUCUGCAAGAGGUGCAUCGUGAAGAAACUCUUCAUUCCAACUUUCAGCGACACUCUCUAGGCAUGUUCUGGACUGGUGUGACGAAAGGGAAACCAGUCCUUGGAGGUGAGGCUGUGAAAGUGUUGUUGCCUUUUGCUACAACCUAUUUGUGUAAAUCAGGGUUUGCAGCUCUGACUGCCAUCAAAACAAACAAAAACAAAAAAAAAAAAAAAAAAAAACAGAAAUCGGCUGCAACCUGAACAUGAUUUGAGGGAAGCACUUUCUAAGACUGAACCACGAAUAGAUAAAUUUAGCAGCAUGAUCCAGGCCCAAGGUUCCCAUUAAGAUCAAUUUAUUAUUUCAUAGAAAACAUUUAUACUUGAAGUUUGUUUUUUGUGGAAUGUGACAAUAUUAUUCCAGAAGUAAAUGUUUUAAUUAAUAUUAAGCAUUAAAAGUUAUAAUGUAUAAUAAAAUUUAAUUAUG